CAUCCCCAUGCCAAACAGUGCUUCCGACUGAACACCCCCGGAACAAGAGGAACGGGACAGCUGUGUUGCUAUGACGAUAAUGGAAGCAUCAUGAAUAUGCUGACCUCGUCCGGUGGUGGAUCACUACAACGUUAUCACUACUUCGGUGAUACAGAUGACGCAGUUCCGUAUCUGUCAAACAUUGUUUAUGAUACGGCCCCCUACUACCAUUGUUGUGCGUAUCCUCACCUUUUUCAGUCGGAUGUUCCGAGUGAGUGUUACAGAUUUCAUCAGAGACGUACGCCUGGAAACUGCAAUGAGUAUGUCCCAAAUACGCCAGCACAAAACUUUGGCGAUCCCCAUUUUGUGACACCGGAUGGUCUGUCUUACACAUUCAAUGGAGUAGGGGAGUUCACAUUAUUUAAAACGAAAACCAACACUUUCAUAGCUCAGGUCAGGAUGCAGUCUCUUGGUACCAC